rnacentral:rRNA from 1 species
GACGAACGCUGGCGGCGUGCUUAACACAUGCAAGUCGAACGAUGAAGCUAGAGCUUGCUCUGGUGAAUUAGUGGCGAACGGGUGAGUAACUCGUGAGUAACCUGCCCCGAACUCUGGGAUAACUGCUGGAAACGGUAGCUAAUACUGGAUACGACCUACGAAGGCAUCUUCUGUAGGUGGAAAGAAUUUCGGUUCGGGAUUGGACUCGCGGCCUAUCAGCUUGUUGGUGAGGUAAUGGCUCACCAAGGCGACGACGGGUAGCCGGCCUGAGGAGGUGACCGGCCACACUGGGACUGAGACACGGCCCAGACUCCUACGGGAGGCAGCAGU